CAUGGUCGUGUAUUUGUCCAUGUUUUUGUCGGUUGUAAGUCCACAUGUUGUAUACAGAUAGCUAGUCUGUUGUGACAUGUUCUUUUCAGUGACAAGUUUUUCAGGAGAGAUGAAUAUUUAAUCAUCUCGUAUUAGAAGGUAUCAUUGGAAUUUUGUACCUACUGGACUUGAAGGGCAUUCCAAGUGACGAAAUGCUGAUUCGGAAUACAGAAAAACAACAAAAUGUAACCAGAAUCGUAUUUUGAAGAGAUUCCUCACGGCCUAGUUAAGAUAACCAGGCUUUUGUCUGAUUGUGUAUUAAUCAUUUGUCACGGUCCGUUGGCCGCGUGGUCAAAUACUGGUUGCGCAAGGACACUGGCCUUUGAUUGUUACGGAUAUCAACGCACCACUCCAUCAUAUCGUCAAUUAUGAAAAACAAAAGGCUUCUUCUCAUCUCGAUGACGUUUUUCCCGCCAGUUCUGUUGGUACUGCUGCUGACUAAAGGGGAGACAACUGCAGCUGUCACCAUCAUCAGAACCUUGGUUCCUCGACAAAUCGAGGUGUGUGACAAGGAGGCGGUUGCGGUACCCGAGCUAUAUAUAGAACGGAUCCGGGGCUACUUCCUGUUGAGAAGGUGUACUUCCGGUUUCCAGUUCUCCAUACUUGCCUGUGGAUGUGUCGAAACCAUUCCCGAGGUCAUCACGACUACACCAGGAACACGUCCUGCCGUAAUAGGAGUAGAGAACACAGACAUCACAGGUAUACCAGUUUUCCUCCAAAAUGGCGGACACGACGAUGGUUUCUGUGGACCUUCCUUCAGAUUUAUCUACAACCGCACGACAAUGUCGGACGAUCGUUCCGUGCCAUCUCUCGCCUCAAACUCCGCCCGGUUCGCUAGACUUCCGGGAAGUGUUGGAGGGACGUCAUUGUUGCUAGGGAGGGAUGGUUUCCUGACAAUAUGGACCAUGAGCUACAUCACCUUUGCGAACAGGUUUAAGUUCAUGAUUCGAUUCAAGCUUCGAGAUGACUAUGAUUAUCAAGACCACCUCUACAACUUACUUGGGUGAUGGACCCUGUGGGAACUACACUUCUAAAUAUAGAAUUAGUAUAAACCCCGUCAAACGUGAGGUACACGCUGAUGUUACUCUGAGGAAUCGCGCCAUGAUCAACCUUGCCCUGUCAGACGUGAGGAUGGACGAUUGGACAGUUGUGGAGCUGGAGGCCGUGAGAGGACAGAUCCGCCUCGUCAUUGAUAACAAGGAAAGUAGGGGCUAUAUCGGAGCUUCCACCAUUAAAUCGUCCCCGUGUCCUAUGGAGAUAGGAAAGGACUUGCAGACAGCUGCGGGUUUCGUCGGUUACAUUGACGUGCUUGCCUUCCACAACUGUUUUGGAAAUUGAGUGCCUGAAUUCGUGCUAGUUUCCGGUGAUACAUAUGAUGACGUGGGCUCAUUUCCGGUUGGACGGAAAUGAUAACUUAAGAACAUCAAGACAUUUGUAAGUGUUAUGAUGAGAUGACCAAAUCGCUGUGGCUGCUGUUGAAUAACCUUGAGGAACACGAUGAACCGUGAGAACGUGUCAAGCCCCUGUGGUCGUACCCGUCCUAACAAUGCACUUUUAAGCGGGAGGGCCAACACAGAAUUUACAUACAAUACAUAAAUCAUUUAAGAUGUUAUUUAAGUUAUAUUUAGACUAAUGCGUGUUUUCUUUAGGUUGUGUCAUAUUCAUUUGUAACCACUCAGCCAGAGACUUCCUUCAAUGAUUCCACCGGCGUUUGUGACAUAGAUGUAUUCCUCAGUGCAUAUCCAACAGCCUAUACGUGAUAGCCAUCCUUAAUGAAUUGUUAAAGACGUAUAAACAUGAUGAAAAGCCGGAAUUAAACACAGACUGUUUGAUUGCCUCCCAACCUCAUAGAAAUGAUGGACUUCAUCUCAUCGCCGUCCUGAUCAAAGUGAUUUUGAUCUACGAAAAAGUUUAACUUUAACAUUUGUGUGUGUGAGAGCACGGGGGCUUGGCACGAUUUUAGAAAUGAUAGUCCAUAUAUAUAUGUACAGUGGACCCGCGAUAAUCCGGACACCGAUAGUCCGGAAAACUCACAGUCCGGACGGACAUGCACGGGGACGGAUUUCCGUAACGUUAUUUGUACUCACCAGUCCGGAAAUUCGGAAUGUAUUAUAUGGACUAACAUGUAUAAAAUCGUGCCAAGUCCCUGUGUGAGAGAAUGUCUAAGCUUCAGAUUUACCAUAUACCUACCUUUUACCUAUACAGGUACAUGUAGUAGCUUAUACCAGAGACAUAUAUAUAUGUGUAUAUGUCUCUGUUUAUACAACCAUUUAAUACGUAUAUUAUCUAUCAGUAAUAGUAGAUCGUGUUUGCCUUAUAAUCAAUGUCGUUACUCGUUCAUUUUACCACAGGGACUUGAGAAUUUGUUACAGUCUACCGUAACAAAUUCUCAAAUCCCUGUGCAUUUUUUCCAUCUCUGUUGUUAUGCCUGCUUCUUCCUUCUUGUCUUCAUUAUAUCUCCCUAUAAUCUUCAAUAUUUAUGUACGUAACUCAUCCACCAUUUAUAUCUGUUCUCGAAUUUCGUAACUUAUUUAUAUUUUACUGAUCCAUGAAUAAAAACAAACUAUGGUUUUUAUUACUUAUUGA